rnacentral:rRNA from 1 species
GGCGAACGCUGGCGGCGCGCUUAAUGCAUGCAAGUCAAACGGAGAACCCCGGCUUGCCGGGGGGAUCAGUGGCGAACGGCUGAGUAACGCGUAAGUAACCUACCCCUGGGUGGGGAAUAACCCCGCGAAAGCGGGGCUAAUACCGCACACGCUGUCCUGCCACAAGGCAGGCCAGGAAAGGUUUCCGCUUCGGCGGACGCCGCCCGGGGAUGGGCUUGCGUCCUAUCAGGUAGUUGGUGGGGUAACAGCCUACCAAGCCUAUGACGGGUAGCUGGUCUGAGAGGACGAUCAGCCAGAGGGGGACUGCGACACGGCCCCCACUCCUACGGGAGGCAGCAGCAGGGAAUCUUGCGCAAUGGGCGAAAGCCUGACGCAGCGACGCCGCGUGGGGGAAGAAGGCCUUCGGGUUGUAAACUCCUUUCUGGGGGAAGAGGACGGACGGUACCCCAGGAAUAAGCCUCGGCUAACUACGUGCCAGCAGCCGCGGUAAUACGUAGGAGGCAAGCGUUGUCCGGAUUUACUGGGCGUAAAGGGCGUGUAGGCGGCAUGGGAAGUCUUCGGUGAAAUCUCCCGGCUCAACUGGGAGGGGUCCAGGGAAACUCCCAAGCUAGAGGGCAGUAGAGGAGAGUGGAAUUCCCGGUGUAGUGGUGAAAUGCGUAGAUAUCGGGAGGAACACCAGUGGCGAAAGCGGCUCUCUGGGCUGUACCUGACGCUGAGGCGCGAAAGCGUGGGGAGCAAACCGGAUUAGAUACCCGGGUAGUCCACGCCCUAAACGAUGGAUGCUGGGUAUGGGGGGUAUCGACCCCCUCCGUGCCGAAGCUAACGCGUUAAGCAUCCCGCCUGGGAACUACGGCCGCAAGGCUAAAACUCAAAGGAAUUGACGG